UACGGAGGGUGCGAGCGUUGUCCGGAAUCAUUGGGCGUAAAGGGCGCGUAGGCGGCGCGAGCAGUCGAUCGUGAAAGUCCGGAGCUCAACUCCGGAUCGGCGGUCGAUACUCUCGUGCUUGAGCACUGUAGAGGCAGAUGGAAUUCCGGGUGUAGCGGUGGAAUGCGUAGAGAUCCGGAAGAACACCGGUGGCGAAGGCGGUCUGCUGGGCAGUUGCUGACGCUGAUGCGCGACAGCGUGGGGAGCAAACAGG
rnacentral:rRNA from 1 species